UCAGGAUGAACGCUGGCGGCGUGCCUAAUACAUGCAAGUGAAACGGGUAUCUUCGGAUACCAGUCGCGGACGGGUGAGUAAUACAUAGGCAACCUGCCUUUAUGAGGGGGAUAACCGAGGGAAACUUUGGCUAAUACCGCAUGAAGACUCUAAGGCAUCUUAGAGGGAUAAAAGUUGGGAAACAACGCAUGAAGAUGGGCUUAUGGCGCAUUAGCUAGUUGGUGAGAUAGAAGCCCACCAAGGUAAUGAUGCGUAGCCGACCUGAGAGGGUGAACGGCCACAUUGGGACUGAGACACGGCCCAAACUCCUACGGGAGGCAGCAGUAGGGAAUUUUCGGCAAUGGGGGGAACCCUGACCGAGCAACGCCGCGUGAAGGAAGAAGGUUUUCGGAUUGUAAACUUCUGUUAUAAGGGAAGAACGGAUUGGAUAGGGAAUGAUCUGAUAGUGACGGUACCUUAUUAGAAAGCCACGGCUAACUACGUGCCAGCCGCCGC
rnacentral:rRNA from 1 species